UGAGCUCCUUAGAUCAUAGGGAUCAUUGAUCAGGAGUUUUGAAGAGAAGAAAAAGCAUCAAGUGACAAUCUUAAAUGCAGUGACUACAGAAUUCCUACCUGGAAAUCAUCUCACAAGCCGUUCUGGUAUGUGAUCCUUCUUGAGUUUGUCAGUUGGGAGGAGACACCCUUUGCCUUCUGUUCUGACUCGGUAGCUGCCUCUGGCUUGCACUACUCAAAAUCUCAUUUGUUAGAGGUCCAUUUGGACAGCUCUUGUGGUUUCACAUCCACAAGAAAAGAGGGUCCUGCAUGCCUCAAGUACAUGGCUUCCUGUGGACCAUAAACACAUCAAGUACAAGGGGUUCCAGGACCUGCUGGACUUCUGCUACACUGCCGUGCUCAUCCUUCCUGGGUAACUCCAUCAUGGUUCCUUCCAGCUCCUCAGAGUGGUCCUGCUUGGCUCCUGAGUCCACACAGAAGUAUCAAUACGUAGUUCACCCCUCUUCUUUACCCUCGUUAGGUUGCGUUCUGCUGAUAACAGGAGCUUCGUGUCGCCUUGAUGAGGGACUCAUGCCUGAUGUAUUUCCAUCCUCCUUCCUGAAGAGAAGCAGCGCUUUAGACAUAGGGGCCUUGGCUGUCUGAGGAUUGUCUCUAGAAAGUUCACAGCACUGUGUUCUAAAUGUGGCCUCUCAGUGUGCUGGUCACUGCCAUUGUGGUUGCCAAGGAAAUCUUUCUCAACUGCCAUGCACUGAGCCUCAGAAGCCCAGUGUGCCUCAGGCAUGGGAAGAUCCAGAGUUGACUUAUGAGUAUGGAAGCUUGCUAGGACCUGAAGAGAGCCAGAGACACUCCUGUAGAGAAAGUGUCUGUGUCAGCAAGAUUUGUCCAGAACCGUUGACCAACUUUUUAAACCCACAUGAGCCCGCAUUGAACCUAUGCAGACUAUCCAGUGCAUGUGUAUAAGUCAUCAUUUAAUCUUUUGAAAAGUGGGUUACACUAACCUAAGUUUUUUACAUAUAAAUUUCA
rnacentral:lncRNA from 1 species